rnacentral:rRNA from 1 species
GCAAGUCGAACGGCAGCACGGGUGCUUGCACCUGGUGGCGAGUGGCGAACGGGUGAGUAAUACAUCGGAACGUACCUUAUCGUGGGGGAUAACGCAGCGAAAGUUGCGCUAAUACCGCAUACGCCCUGAGGGGGAAAGCGGGGGACCGUAAGGCCUCGCGCGAUUAGAGCGGCCGAUGUCUGAUUAGCUUGUUGGUGAGGUAAAAGCUCACCAAGGCGAUGAUCAGUAGCUGGUCUGAGAGGACGAUCAGCCACACUGGGACUGAGACACGGCCCAGACUCCUACGGGAGGCAGCAGUGGGGAAUUUUGGACAAUGGGGGCAACCCUGAUCCAGCAAUGCCGCGUGAGUGAAGAAGGCCUUCGGGUUGUAAAGCUCUUUUGUCAGGGAAGAAACAGCAGCUCUAACACAGUCUGCGAAUGACGGUACCUGAAGAAUAAGCACCGGCUAACUACGUGCCAGCAGCCGCGGUAAUACGUAGGGUGCGAGCGUUAAUCGGAAUUACUGGGCGUAAAGCGUGCGCAGGCGGUUAUACAAGACAGGCGUGAAAUCCCCGGGCUUAACCUGGGAAUGGCGUCUGUGACUGUAUAGCUAGAGUGUGUCAGAGGGGGGUGGAAUUCCACGUGUAGCAGUGAAAUGCGUAGAUAUGUGGAGGAACACCAAUGGCGAAGGCAGCCCCCUGGGAUAACACUGACGCUCAUGCACGAAAGCGUGGGGAGCAAACAGGAUUAGACACCCUGGUAGUCCACGCCCUAAACGAUGCUGACUAGUUGUUGGGAAUUUACAUUCUCAGUAACGUAGCUAACGCGUGAAGUCAGCCGCCUGGGGAGUACGGUCGCAAGAUUAAAACUCAGAGGAAUUGACGGGGACCCGCACAAGCGGUGGAUGAUGUGGAUUAAUUCGAUGC